rnacentral:lncRNA from 1 species
ACAACGCAUCCACACAAUACUGAAAAUAACUCAUUCACAGAAUUAUCAGCAACACCUAAAUCAUUUCAAACUAAAACAACAGACAGUAGUGAUUCAUCAGUGUCUAUUACUCAAUUAAACAUCACCUCAGCCAUUCCCACACGAUCAACAUCUGAAAAUACACCAAUUUCUAUACAGUCAAACAACACAUCAGCUAACAGCACCUCAUCUUUCGUACCAAACCCUGUCUCUGAACAUUUGAACUCUGGUGUUACACCUCAACCAACAUCUUUACCUGUGAGCAAAACCUCUGCUCUUCCAACAUCAGCAGCAUCACCACCUAGCAUUGUCCCCUCAGACCCUUCCACAGGGACCACACCCAUGUCUUUAUCAGUUAAACCCCCAACAUCGGGAACAACAACAACAAAAACAACAGCAUCAACAACAACAACAACAACGCUGCUUGUCUCUGCAGACCAUAAAGUGACAACAUCCAAAUCUGUAAUCCUCAACACUACUUUGCUUCCAAAAAAACCAACAAUGACUUCAUCAGUGGUGACAGCAGGGGAUGAUGCUCAUCAAACAUCAAUCUUGACCUCUCAAACCCAGUCAGGAGCUACAACUCCCACUGUGACAGCCACAUCAAUACACACAAUACCGAAUGAAGCGUUUCAGCCAAGUACAGCUGGAAUGAUACAAAAUGAGGUAACAACAUCCAACCCUAUUGCAUCAGAAAACACUGCAGCAUCACUGCUAACUGAACCCUUUGCAACACAAAUACUGACUGUGGACGCCUCAGUCACAUCACCUAACGAGGGUGCAACCGUCUCAGACUCUGAAUCAGGUCCAGUUCAAACAUCUGACCAACAGUCUUCACAGUCAACCACAACACAACCAAUAUUCACUACCACAAACAUUCUCAUGAAACUCACAGCUGCAAUUACACCAUCAGCAACUACACCACACACUGAUACUUCAGACAACAGUCCAUCAACACCACCUAUAUCUUCUACUACUCAGUUAAACAUCACCUCAGCCAGCCCCACACAACCAACAUCUGAAAAUACACCAAUUUCAAAACAGUCAAACAACUCGUCAGCUAACAACACCUCAUCUUUCGUACCAAACCCUGUCUCUGAACAUUUGAACUCUGGUGUUACACCUCAAUCAACAUCUUUACCUGUGAGCAAAACCUCUUCUCUUCCAACAUCAGCUGCAUCACCACCUCGCAUUGUCCCCUCAGGCCCUUCCACAGUGACCACACCCAUGUCUUUAUCAGUUAAACCCCCAACAUCGGGAACAACAACAACAAAAGCAACAGCAUCAACAACAACAACAACAACACUGCUUGUCUCUGCAGACCAUAAAGUGACAACAUCCAAAUCUGUAAUCCUCAACACCACCUCGCUUCCAACAAAACCAACAGUGUCUUCAUCAGUGGGGACAGCAGGGGAAGAAGCUCAUCAAACCGCUGCCAUCUUGACCUCUCAAACCCAGUCAGGAGCUACAACUCCCACUGUGACAGGAACAUCAACACACACAAUAUCGAAUGAAACUUUUCAGCCAAGUUCAGCUGGAAUGAUACAAAAUGAGGUAACAACAUCAAACCCUAUCGCAUCAGAAAACACAGCAGCAUCCUUGCUAACUAAACCCUUUGCAACACAAUCACUGACUGUGGACGCCUCAGUCACAUCACCUAACGAGGGCACAACCAUCUCAGACUCUGAAUCAGGUUCAGUUCAAACAUCUGACCAACAGUCAUCACAGUCACCCACAACACAACCAAUAUUCACUACCACAAACUUUCUCAUGAAACUCACGGCUGCAACUACACCAUCAGCAACUACACCAUACACUGAUGCUUCAGACAACAGUCCAUCAACAUCACCUAUAUCCUCUACUACUAAAUUAAACAUCAGGUCAUCUAGCCCCGCACGAUCAACAUCUGAAAAUAUACCAAUCUCAACACAGUCAAACAACACGCCAGCUAACAACACCUCAUCUUUCGUACCAAACCCUGUCUCUGAACAUUUGAACUCUGGUGUUACACCUCAACCAACAUCUUUACCUGUGAGCAAAACCUCUUCUCUUCCAACAUCAGCUGCAUCACCACCUAGCAUUGUCCCCUCAGGCCCUUCCACAGGGACCACACCCAUGUCUUUAUCAGUUAAACCCCCAACAUCGGGAACAACAACAAAAACAACAGCAUCAACAAUAACAACAACAACGCUGCUUGUCUCUGCAGACCAUAAAGUGACAACAUCCAAAUCUGUAAUCCUCAACACCACCUCGCUUCCAACAAAACCAACAGUGUCUUCAUCAGUGGGGACAGCAGUGGAAGAAGCUCAUCAAACCGCUGCCAUCUUGACCUCUCAAACCCAGUCAGGAGCUACAACUCCCACUGUGACAGGAACAUCAACACACACAAUAUCGAAUGAAACUUUUCAGCCAAGUUCAGCUGGAAUGAUACAAAAUGAGGUAACAACAUCAAACCCUAUCGCAUCAGAAAACACAGCAGCAUCCUUGCUAACUAAACCCUUUGCAACACAAUCACUGACUGUGGACGCCUCAGUCACAUCACCUAAUGAGGGCACAACCAUCUCAGACUCUGAAUCAGGUUCAGUUCAAACAUCUGACCAACAGUCAUCACAGUCAACCACAACACAACCAAUAUUCAAUACCACAAACUUUCUCAUGAAACUCACAGCUGCAACUACACCAUACACUGAUGCUUCAGACAACAGUCCAUCAACACCACCUAUAUCCUCUACUACUAAAUUAAACAUCAGGUCAUCUAGCCCCGCACGAUCAACAUCUGAAAAUACACCAAUCUCAACACAGUCAAACAACACGUCAGCUAACAACACCUCAUCUUUCGUAACAAACCCUGUCUCUGAACAUUUGAACUCUGGUGUUACACCUCAACCAACAUCUUUACCUGUGAGCAAAACCUCUUCUCUUCCAACAUCAGCCGCAUCACCACCUAGCAUUGUCCCCUCAGGCCCUUCCACAGGGACCACACCCAUGUCUUUAUCAGUUAAACCCCCAACAUCGGGAACAACAACAACAAAAACAACAGCAUCAACAACAACAACAACAACGCUGCCUGUCUCUGCAGACCAUAAAGUGACAACAUCCAAAUCUGUAAUCCUCAACACCACCUCGCUUCCAACAAAACCAACAGUGUCUUCAUCAGUGGGGACAGCAGGGGAAGAAGCUCAUCAAACCGCUGCCAUCUUGACCUCUCAAACCCAGUCAGGAGCUACAACUCCCACUGUGACAGGAACAUCAACACACACAAUAUCGAAUGAAACUUUUCAGCCAAGUUCAGCUGGAAUGAUACAAAAUGAGGUAACAACAUCAAACCCUAUCGCAUCAGAAAACACAGCAGCAUCACUGCUAACUAAACCCUUUGCAACACAAUCACUGACUGUGGACACCUCAGUCACAUCACCUAACGAGGAUACAACCAUCUCAGACUCUGAAACAGGUCCAGUUCCAACAUCUGAACAACAGUCAUCACAGUCAACCACAACACAACCAAUAUUCUCUUCCACAAACAUUCUUAUGAAACUCGCAGCUGCAACUACACCAUCAGCAACUACACCAUACACUGAUACUUCAGACGACAGUCCAUCAACACCACCUAUAUCCACUACUACUCAAUUAAACAUCAGGUCAGCCAGCCCCACACGAUCAACAUCUGAAAAUAUACCAAUCUCAACACAGUCAAACAACACGCCAGCUAACAACACCUCAUCAUUUGUACCAAACCCUGUCUCUGAACAUUUGAACUCUGGUGUUACACCUCAACCAACAUCUUUACCUGUGAGCAAAACCUCUUCUCUUCCAACAUCAGCUGUAUCACCACCUAGCAUUGUCCCCUCAGGCCCUUCCACAGGGACCACACCCAUGUCUUUAUCAGUUAAACCCCCAACAUCGGGAACAACAACAAAAACAACAGCAUCAACAACAACAACAACAACAACAACGCUGCUUGUCUCUGCAGACCAUAAAGUGACAACAUCCAAAUCUGUAAUCAUCAACACCACUUCGCUUCCAACAAAACCAACAAUGACUUCAUCAGUGGUGACAGCGGGAGAUGAUGCUCAUCAAACCGCUGCCAUCUUGACCUCUCAAACCCAGUCAGGAGCUACAACUCCCACUGUGACAGCAACAUCAAGACACACAAUACCGAAUGAAGCUUUUCAGUCAAGUUCAGCUGGAAUGAUACAAAAUGAGGCAACAACAUCAAACCCUAUCUCAUCAGAAAACACAGCAGCAUCACUGCUAACUAAACCCUUUGCAACACAAUCACUGACUGUGGACACCUCAGUCACAUCACUUAACGAGGGAGCAACCAUCUCAGACUCUGAAUCAGGUUCAGUUCAAACAUCUGACCAACAGUCAUCACAGUCAACCACAACACAACCAAUAUUCACUACCACAAACUUUCUCAUGAAACUCACAGCUGCAACUACACCAUCAGCAACUACACCAUACACUGAUGCUUCAGACAAUAGUCCAUCAACACCACCUAUAUCCUCUACUACUAAAUUAAACAUCAGGUCAUCUAGCCCCGCACGAUCAACAUCUGAAAAUAUACCAAUCUCAACACAGUCAAACAACACGUCAGCUAACAACACCUCAUCAUUUGUACCAAAUCCUGUCUCUGAACAUUUGAACUCUGGUGUUACACCUCAACCAACAUCUUUACCUGUGAGCAAAACCUCUUCUCUUCCAACAUCAGCUGCAUCACCACCUAGCAUUGUCCCCUCAGGCCCUUCCACAGUGACCACACCCAUGUCUUUAUCAGUUAAACCCCCAACAUCGGGAACAACAACAACAAAAACAACAGCAUCAACAACAACAACAACAACGCUGCUUGUCUCUGCAGACCAUCAAGUGACAACAUCCAAAUCUGUAAUCCUCAACACCACCUCGCUUCCAACAAAACCAACAGUGUCUUCAUCAGUGGGGACAGCAGGGGAAGAAGCUCAUCAAACCGCUGCCAUCUUGACCUCUCAAACCCAGUCAGGAGCUACAACUCCCACUGUGACAGGAACAUCAACACACACAAUAUCGAAUGAAACUUUUCAGCCAAGUUCAGCUGGAAUGAUACAAAAUGAGGUAACAACAUCAAACCCUAUCGCAUCAGAAAACACAGCAGCAUCACUGCUAAGUAAACCCUUUGCAACACAAUCACUGACUGUGGACACCUCAGUCACAUCACCUAACGAGGAUACAACCAUCUCAGACUCUGAAACAGGUCCAGUUCCAACAUCUGAACAACAGUCAUCACAGUCAACCACAACACAACCAAUAUUCUCUUCCACAAACGUUCUCAUGAAACUCACAGCUGCAACUACACCAUCAGCAACUACACCAUACACUGAUGCUUCAGAUGACAGUCCAUCAACACCACCUAUAUCUUCUACUACUCAGUUAAACAUCAGGUCAGCCAACCCCACACGAUCAACAUCUGAAAAUACACCAAUUCAACACAGUCAAACAACACGCCAGCUAACAACACCUCAUCUUUCGUACCAAACCCUGUCUCUGAACAUUUGAACUCUGGUGUUUCACCUCAACCAACAUCUUUACCUGUGAGCAAAACCUCUUCUCUUCCAACAUCAGCUGUAUCACCACCUAGCAUUGUCCCCUCAGGCCCUUCCACAGGGACCACAUCCAUGUCUUUAUCAGUUAAACCCCCAACAUCGGGAACAACAACAACAAUAACAACAACAACAACAACAACAACAACUGCCUGUCUCUGCAGACCAUAAAGUUACAACAUCCAAAUCUGUAAUCCUCAACACCACUUCACUUCCAACAAAACCAACAGUGACUUCAUCAGUGGUGACAGCAGGAGAAGAUGCUCAUCAAACCGCUGCCAUCUUGACCUCUCAAACCC